GCCCGGUUGGCUCAGUCGGUAGAGCGUGUGACUCUUAAGUGUCUGGUAAACAGGCGCAUGAGGGAUCUCAAGGUCGCGAGUUCGAGCCUCGCAUUGGGCU